UACGUAGGGUGCAAGCGUUGUCCGGAAUUAUUGGGCGUAAAGAGCUCGUAGGCGGCUUGUCGCGUCGGCUGUGAAAACCUGGGGCUCAACCCCGGGCCUGCAGCCGAUACGGGCAGACUAGAGUGCUGUAGGGGAGACUGGAAUUCCUGGUGUAGCGGUGAAAUGCGCAGAUAUCAGGAGGAACACCGGUGGCGAAGGCGGGUCUCUGGGCCGAUAUUGACGCUGAGGAGCGAAAACGUGGGUAGCGAACAGG
rnacentral:rRNA from 1 species